rnacentral:rRNA from 1 species
UGAGGAAUAUUGGACAAUGGGCGAGAGCCUGAUCCAGCCAUGCCGCGUGCAGGAAGACUGCCCUAUGGGUUGUAAACUGCUUUUAUACGGGAAGAACCCCAUCUACGUG